UGAUGGGGGAAUGCAAAUGAAACAUUAUUGGGUCAGAAUAAUGGAUAAUAAUUUCAUGUGUGCUUGUACUAAAAUUAACUAACCAAUAUGCAACUCAAUUAGUUUCUCCAUAAGGGUGAGAACCUCUCUAUUAAGUUAAACUAUUCUUCCAAAGCUAAAUGUUAAGCAAGCAGGACAUCGAUGAUGUUAUGUUAUCAUAGUCUAUUCGUUAGAUAUACAUUAGUUGUUUUGUACCGUUUUUAUCUAACAUUUUUUUUAUAAAGCCUAAGAAAAAUCUAAGUUCUUGAAUUAUAUUUUAUUUUUCUCUAUGUGCAUAGUGUACUGGAAUAUCGCACAUGCAAUAUAUGUAUGUUUUCUGAUAAUAAAGUCUAUUUAAAUAAAUAAAUAAAAUGUUAGAGCAACAAUCGGAGACUUUUAUCUCAUGACAUGUUGUAAGCAAUGUGCAGUGAGUAAUACAUAUAAUAGCAUAUAGGAUGGAAAUAUGUGGCUGAAAAUGGUGGACAAUUAGAUAUGUCUUAUGCAUGAUUAUGCUAGAGGAGUCAUUAUUAUAUAAUAAAAUAUAUAGUGAUAAACUAAAUGAUAAGGAGAGCCUAAUGGCAAGAGUUAUCAUUCUUUUUUUUUCUCCUAUUCUUUUAAGACAAUGAAAGAGGAAAAAAGAGAGAGAGACCCACCCAUGAGAUAAUACCUAAGUCCGAUAUAAGUUGUUAACAUUCUUACAAGUUGAGCAAGACCGAGCAAAUUCAAAAUUCUAAAUAUUUCAUAGCAAACCUAAGCUUAAGUUCUCAAGGCAAGCUUGGUGAAGCUUGAUUAACCCCUCUAAAGAAAAGAAAAGUAGAAGAAAAACACAUGCAAAGGGGGGCUGUAGUGUCCAACCACUUAACGUAUUGGUUAAUUUAUUUUUCAUUUCAAGUCAUACAUUACAUAUUAAAUAAAAUGUACGAUAUACCUGUUCUAGACUACUUUAUGUAUUUUAAAAGAAAGAACGAGCCCACCUCAAAAAUUUAGAAAAUUAUUUUCCGUCUUGUAAAGGGCUAGUCUCUCAUCCUAAACGGACUAAUUUGCAUGUAUAGUUCUUUUAUAAUCCUAGCUUUCCACCCUUAUAAAUCUCAUCUAAAUCUAUAGUAAGCUGAGUGAUAAAAAGGGGAUACUAAAUUAAAUUUCAAAUUUUAUAAGGGACCUCCAAAGUAUGUAAAAAUAGAACUCCUAAGAUCUUGAGAGGUUGAACCACAUAUUUUUCCGUUUCUAAAAUGCACUUUAGGCCAAGCAUGCAAUUACAUAUGGAAAGCACACAAAAUCUACGGUGCAAAUAUUUUUGGUGCAUAAAUAAGAUAAAAAAAGGUUUUUACUGGAUGUUUUUUUUUCUUUGAAAUACUUAAAAUUGCUAGGGAAGAGUUUCAAACAUGAAUGAAGUUAGAAAAAACUCAGACAUAAAAGGGAGAGAGGAGGAGAAAUUAGCUGAUAGUUUCUUACUUUCUCACAACUAUUUUCUCAUGUUUAAAUCUUAGGUGAUCCUGAUCAGAGACCCAACCAGAUCCAAAACCCAACACUUAUAAGGUUUUGAGGUCUUAAAAAGUUUACAUUUAGUUUUGCCUAUCAUGCUAAUUUUUUCUAAAUUCACAAUAAUAGCAUUUAUUUAUUCUAUAUUUUAUUUGUUAAUGGCCUGUCAUAGGACAUUAAAUCAAGUCAAAAUUAACUGUGUUGCGCCCCGAGCCUAGAGCGCAACAGACACCACAUACCUGUAUGGCAGACCAUACAGACAUACAAGGCUACAGAUCAUAUCAAAGCAAUAAUCAAACUUGAAAAUUUAUUUAAUCAACAUCUUAUUCAAAUGGUUCUUACAAUAGUUCCAAAAUAACAUAAGUCAACAUAUGCUAACUACUAACAUGAGUCAAAUAAAAUGUUCUAACUAGAGUGAUUAAUGCUCCAAUGACUGGAAGUGUCUUCGCAAAAACUAGCGCACUUUCUAAAUCCCAAGCAAUCAUGCAUCCGGACCUGAAAAACAGAAAAAACAUAAUAAUGAGCAACACUAGCCCAGUAAGCAACAUAAUAUCGUAAAGUGAGGUUGAAGCAUGCCACAUAAUUUAGUUAGAAGCACAAAAUACUGACAGGAAAAUAAAUCAUUUCUCAAAUAAUGCAUUUUUUUUUUGAAAUAUUCUAUAGUUUUCACAGAAAAUAUUAGAGACUAGAUAUCGGAAAUAAGAAAUUAGAUGUCAAAAUUAGGUUAUAGCCACGUAAUCUAAUGGCAUGAAUUACAUAAAGUGCCAAAAAUUAUUAUUUUUAAUCACCGGCGGUCUUCCUAAAACUGUUAUUUUAGUCACCCACCCCUACUUGGAGACUUUCCUGGAAACAUGUCUUCCCGAGUCUCUCUCAAAGUACCAUGCACCUCUACGAUUCCGAGUAGCAACAUCACAAAUGCCAAGGGCCAUCAACAGUUUUAGAUGGUGGUUUUGUCAUGGCGGUGAAAAUCGAACUCUUCCCAAAUGCCAAGGACCCUCGGAAGCUUGAACUUGGCAAGUUGCUAUGUCACUGCAUUGUAUUGACCUUUAUCUCUAAUUGGCUCAAAAUAUGUUGUAAUUGCUCUGAAUGACCUGCUAUACCAUGGUGUCCCACUUUGCUCCUCCUCACCUCUCCAAAUUUCUGAACUGGUAGAAUUAGUAAAUGUUGGGGAAAAACCCAAGUCGUCCCGGAACGAAGGCGCCCGACCAGGGAGCGCCGACCAGAAGGCGCCCGACCAGGAAGNN
rnacentral:lncRNA from 1 species